GACGAACGCUGGCGGCGUGCUUAACACAUGCAAGUCGAACGAUGAACCCGGAGCUUGCUCCGGUGGAUUAGUGGCGAACGGGUGAGUAACACGUGGGUGAUCUGCCCUGCACUUCGGGAUAAGCCUGGGAAACUGGGUCUAAUACCGGAUAGGACCCUGGGAUGCAUGUCCUGGGGUGGAAAGCUUUUGCGGUGUGGGAUGGGCCCGCGGCCUAUCAGCCUGUUGGGGGGGUGAUGGCCUACCACGGCGACGACGGGUAGCCGGCCCGAGAGGGUGACCGGCCACACUGGGACUGAGAUACGGCCCAGACUCCUACGGGAGGCAGCAGUGGGGAAUAUUGCACAAUGGGCGCAAGCCUGAUGCAGCGACGCCGCGUGAGGGAUGACGGCCUUCGGGUUGUAAACCUCUUUCAGCACCGACGAAGCGCAAGUGACGGUAGGUGCAGAAGAAGGACCGGCCAACUACGUGCCAGCCGCCGCCGUAA
rnacentral:rRNA from 1 species